GGCGGGUGCCCGAGCGGCCAAAGGGAGCGACUGUAAAUCUGCCGGCUUCGCCUUCCCAGGUUCGAAUCCUGGCGCCGCCA
rnacentral:tRNA from 1 species